AUUGAACGCUGGCGGCAGGCCUAACACAUGCAAGUCGAACGAGUGGCGGACGGGUGAGUAAUGUCUGGGAAACUGCCCGAUGGAGGGGGAUAACUACUGGAAACGGUAGCCAAUACCGCAUACCAUCGGAUGUGCCCAGAUGGGAUUAGCUAGUAGGUGGGGUAACGGCUCACCCAGGCGACGAUCCCUAGCUGGACUGAGAGGAUGACCAGCCACACUGGAACUGAGGCACGGUCCAGACUCCUACGGGAGGCAGCGGUGGGGAAUAUUGCGCAAUGGGCGCAAGCCUGAUGCAGCCGUGCCGCGUGUAUGAAGAAGGCCUUCGGGUUGUAAAGUACUUUCGGCGAGGAGGCGUUACUCGCAGAAAAAGCACCGGCUAACUCCGUGCCAGCCGCCGCGGUAAUUC
rnacentral:rRNA from 1 species